rnacentral:rRNA from 1 species
CCUACGGGAGGCAGCAGUGGGGAAUUUUGGACAAUGGGCGCAAGCCUGAUCCAGCAAUGCCGCGUGCAGGAUGAAGGCCUUCGGGUUGUAAACUGCUUUUGUACGGAACGAAACGGCGAGCUCUAAUACAGUUUGCUAAUGACGGUACCGUAAGAAUAAGCACCGGCUAACUACGUGCCAGCAGCCGCGGUAAUACGUAGGGAGCAAGCGUUAAUCGGAAUUACUGGGCGUAAAGCGUGCGCAGGCGGUUCUAUAAGACAGGCGUGAAAUCCCCGGGCUCAACCUGGGAAUUGCGUUUGUGACUGUAGAGCUAGAGUACGGCAGAGGGGGAUGGAAUUCCGCGUGUAGCAGUGAAAUGCGUAGAUAUGCGGAGGAACACCGAUGGCGAAGGCAAUCCCCUGGGCCUGUACUGACGCUCAUGCACGAAAGCGUGGGGAGCAAACAGGAUUAGAUACCCUGGUAGUC